rnacentral:rRNA from 1 species
GAUGAACGCUAGCUACAGGCUUAACACAUGCAAGUCGAGGGGAAACGCCAUCGCAAGCUUGCUUUUGAUGGGCGUCGACCGGCGCACGGGUGAGUAACGCGUAUCCAACCUGCCCAUCACUUGGGAAUAACCUUGCGAAAGUAAGACUAAUACCCAAUGAUAUCCCACGAAGGCAUCGGAAUGGGAUUAAAGAUUUAUCGGUGAUGGAUGGGGAUGCGUCUGAUUAGCUUGUUGGCGGGGUAACGGCCCACCAAGGCAACGAUCAGUAGGGGUUCUGAGAGGAAGGUCCCCCACAUUGGAACUGAGACACGGUCCAAACUCCUACGGGAGGCAGCAGUGAGGAAUAUUGGUCAAUGGGCGAGAGCCUGAACCAGCCAAGUAGCGUGCAGGAAGACGGCCCUAUGGGUUGUAAACUGCUUUUAUAAGGGAAUAAAGUGGGUCACGUGUGACUUUUUGCAUGUACCUUAUGAAUAAGAACCGGCUAAUUCCGUG